UAGGGAAUCUUCCACAAUGGACGCAAGUCUGAUGGAGCAACGCCGCGUGAGUGAAGAAGGUUUUCGGAUCGUAAAGCUCUGUUGUUGGUGAAGAAGGAUAGAGGCAGUAACCGGUCUUUAUUUGACGGUAAUCAACCAGAAAGUCACGGCUAACUACGUGCCAGCAGCCGCGGUAAUACGUAGGUGGCAAGCGUUGUCCGGAUUUAUUGGGCGUAAAGCGAGCGCAGGCGGAAUGAUAAGUCUGAUGUGAAAGCCCACGGCUCAACCGUGGAACUGCAUCGGAAACUGUCAUUCUUGAGUGCAGAAGAGGAGAGUGGAACUCCAUGUGUAGCGGUGGAAUGCGUAGAUAUGGAAGAACACCAGUGGCGAAGGCGGCUCUCUGGUCUGCAACUGACGCUGAGGCUCGAAAGCAUGGGUAGCGAACAGGAUUAGAUACCCUGGUAGUCCAUGCCGUAAACGAUGAGCGCUAGGUGUUGGGGACUUUCCGGUCCUCAGUGCCGCAGCAAACGCAUUAAGCGCUCCGCCUGGGGAGUACGACCGCAAGGUUGAAAC
rnacentral:rRNA from 1 species